rnacentral:piRNA from 1 species
UGUGCAACUACUCAGCUAUAAGGUCUAGGA